CAGCCGCCGCGGUAAUACGUAGGUGGCAAGCGUUGUCCGGAAUUAUUGGGCGUAAAGGGCUCGCAGGCGGUUUCUUAAGUCUGAUGUGAAAGCCCCCGGCCCAACCGGGGAGGGUCAUUGGAAACUGGGAAACUUGAGUGCAGAAGAGGAGAGUGGAAUUCCACGUGUAGCGGUGAAAUGCGUAGAGAUGUGGAGGAACACCAGUGGCGAAGGCGACUCUCUGGUCUGUAACUGACGCUGAGGAGCGAAAGCGUGGGGAGCGAACAGGAUUAGAUACCCCAGUAGUCCCUGUCUCUUAUAC
rnacentral:rRNA from 1 species